rnacentral:rRNA from 1 species
UACGUAGGGGGCAAGCGUUGUCCGGAUUUAUUGGGCGUAAAGAGCGUGUAGGCGGCCACACAGGUCUGCUGUGAAAACUCGAGGCUCAACCUCGAGCUGUCGGUGGAAACCGUGUGGCUAGAGUCCGGAAGAGGAGAGUGGAAUUCCCGGUGUAGCGGUGAAAUGCGCAGAUAUCGGGAAGAACACCGGUGGCGAAGGCGGUUCUCUGGGCCUGUACUGACGCUGAGGAGCGAAAGCGUGGGGAGCGAACAGG